UACGGAGGGUGCGAGCGUCGUUCGGAAUCAUUGGGCGUAAAGGGCGCGUAGGUGGUGCUGUAUGUCUCCCGUGAAAGCCCACGGCUCAACUGUGGGGCGUCGGGAGAAACUGCAGGACUUGAGGCUGGGAGGGGCUGGUGGAAUUCCCUGUGUAGCGGUGAAAUGCGUAGAGAUGGGGGAGAACACUCGUGGCGAAGGCGGCCAGCUAGACCAGUUCUGACACUGAGGCGCGGUAGCGUGGGGAGCAAACAGG
rnacentral:rRNA from 1 species